rnacentral:tRNA from 1 species
GGCCCUUGACGGUCGGAGUGGUCUCUGACGCUGGGCUUCAAACCCAGUUAUCCUGCGGAGGGAUAGGGGUUCGAUUCCCCUCGAGGGCCGCCA